CAGGCCUAACACAUGCAAGUCGAGCGGGCAUAGCAAUAUGUCAGCGGCAGACGGGUGAGUAACGCGUGGGAACGUACCUUUUGGCUCGGAACAACUGAGGGAAACUUCAGCUAAUACCGGAUAAGCCCUUACGGGGAAAGAUUUAUCGCCGAAAGAUCGGCCCGCGUCUGAUUAGCUAGUUGGUGAGGUAAUGGCUCACCAAGGCGACGAUCAGUAGCUGGUCUGAGAGGAUGAUCAGCCACAUUGGGACUGAGACACGGCCCAAACUCCUACGGGAGGCAGCAGUGGGGAAUAUUGGACAAUGGGCGCAAGCCUGAUCCAGCCAUGCCGCGUGAGUGAUGAAGGCCCUAGGGUUGUAAAGCUCUUUUGUGCGGGAAGAUAAUGACGGUACCGCAAGAAUAAGCCCCGGCUAACUUCGUGCCAGCAGCCGCGGUAAU
rnacentral:rRNA from 1 species